rnacentral:rRNA from 1 species
UGAGGAAUAUUGCGCAAUGGGGGCAACCCUGACGCAGCAACGCCGCGUGAGUGAGGAAGGUUUUCGGACCGUAAAGCUCUGUCGAGCGGGAAGAAAUGCAUGGUGGCUAAUAUCCAUCAUGCUUGACGGUACCGCUAAAGGAAGCACCGGCUAACUCCGUGCCAGCAGCCGCGGUAAUACGGGGGGUGCGAGCGUUGUUCGGAAUUAUUGGGCGUAAAGAGCGUGUAGGCGGCUGAAUAAGUCAGAUGUGAAAUCCCUGGGCUUAACCCAGGACGUGCAUUUGAAACUAUUCGGCUAGAGUAGGGGAGAGGAAAGUGGAAUUCCUGGUGUAGAGGUGAAAUUCGUAGAUAUCAGGAGGAACACCGGUGGCGAAGGCGACUUUCUGGCCCUAUACUGACGCUGAGACGCGAGAGCGUGGG